rnacentral:rRNA from 1 species
UACGUAGGGGUGCAAGCGUUUAAUCGGAAUUACUGGGCGUAAAGCGUGCCGCAGGCGGUUUUUGUAAGUUUUGUCGUGAAAAUCCCCCGGGGCUCAACCUGGGGAAUGGCGAUGAAGACUGCAAGGCUAGAAUCUGGCAGAGGGGGGGUAGAAUUCCACGUGUAGCAGUGAAAUGCGUAGAGAUGUGGAGGAACACCGAUGGCGAAGGCAGCCCCCUGGGUCAAGAUUGACGCUC